rnacentral:tRNA from 1 species
GGAGAGAUGGCCGAGCGGUCGAAGGCGCACGCCUGGAAAGUGUGUAUACGGCAACGUAUCGAGGGUUCGAAUCCCUCUCUCUCGCCA